AUUGAACGCUGGCGGCAUGCCUUACACAUGCAAGUCGAACGGCAGCACGGGAGCAAUCCUGGUGGCGAGUGGCGAACGGGUGAGUAAAGUAUCGGAACGUGCCCAGUCGUGGGGGAUAACGUAGCGAAAGUUACGCUAAUACCGCAUACGACCUAUGGAUGAAAGCGGGGGAUCGCAAGACCUUGCGCGAUUGGAGCGGCCGAUAUCAGAUUAGGUAGUUGGUGGGGUAAAGGCUCACCAAGCCGACGAUCUGUAGCUGGUCUGAGAGGACGACCAGCCACACUGGGACUGAGACACGGCCCAGACUCCUACGGGAGGCAGCAGUGGGGAAUUUUGGACAAUGGGCGCAAGCCUGAUCCAGCCAUGCCGCGUGCAGGAUGAAGGCCUUCGGGUUGUAAACUGCUUUUGUACGGAACGAAAAGGUUUGACUUAAUACGUUGGACUCAUGACGGUACCGUAAGAAUAAGCACCGGCUAACUACGUGCCAGCCGCCGCAGUAA
rnacentral:rRNA from 1 species